rnacentral:rRNA from 1 species
UGGGGAAUAUUGCACAAUGGGCGCAAGCCUGAUGCAGCAACGCCGCGUGAACGAUGAAGGUCUUCGGAUCGUAAAGUUCUGUUGCAGGGGAAGAUAAUGACGGUACCCUGUGAGGAAGCCCCGGCUAACUACGUGCCAGCAGCCGCGGUAAUACGUAGGGGGCUAGCGUUAUCCGGAUUUACUGGACGUAAAGGGUGCGUAGGUGGUCUUUCAAGUCGGUGGUUAAAGGCUACGGCUCAACCGUAGUUAGCCUCCGAAACUGGAAGACUUGAGUGCAGGAGAGGAAAGUGGAAUUCCCAGUGUAGCGGUGAAAUGCGUAGAUAUUGGGAGGAACACCAGUAGCGAAGGCGGCUUUCUGGACUGCAACUGACACUGAGGCACGAAAGCGUGGGUAGCAAACAGG